rnacentral:rRNA from 1 species
AUGAACGCUGGCGGCGUGCUUAACCCAUGCAAGUCGAGCGAGAAGUUUUGAAAAGAUUCUUCGGAUGAAAUUUAAAAUGGAAAGCGGCGGACGGGUGAGUAACGCGUAGGCAACCUGCCCCAUACAAAGGGAUAGCAUUUGGAAACGAAUAUUAAUACCUUAUGAAACUUAACUAGUCCAUGCUAGGUAGGUCAAAGAUUUAUCGGUAUGGGAUGGGCCUGCGUCUGAUUAGCUAGUUGGUGAGGUAACGGCUCACCAAGGCGACGAUCAGUAGCCGACCUGAGAGGGUGAACGGCCACAUUGGAACUGAGACACGGUCCAAACUCCUACGGGAGGCAGCAGUGGGGAAUAUUGCACAAUGGGGGAAACCCUGAUGCAGCAACGCCGCGUGAACGAUGAAGGCCUUUGGGUCGUAAAGUUCUGUUCUAGGUGAUGAAAACUGACAGUAACCUAGGAGAAAGCCCCGGCUAACUCCGUG